rnacentral:rRNA from 1 species
UGCUUGCACUGGUCAAUCUAGUGGCGAACGGGUGAGUAACACGUGGGUAACCUGCCCAUCAGAGGGGGAUAACAUUCGGAAACGGAUGCUAAAACCGCAUAGGUCCUUUAACCGCAUGGUUGAAGGAGGAAAAGAGGCGCAAGCUUCUGCUGAUGGAUGGACCCGCGGUGCAUUAGGCUAGUUGGUGAGGUAACGGCUCACCAAGGCCGUGAUGCAUAGCCGACCUGAGAGGGUGAUCGGCCACAUUGGGACUGAGACACGGCCCAAACUCCUACGGGAGGCAGCAGUAGGGAAUCUUCCGCAAUGGACGCAAGUCUGACGGAGCAACGCCGCGUAAGUGAAGAAGGUUUUCGGAUCGUAAAACUCUGUUGUUAGAGAAGAACAAGUGCUAGAGUAACUGUUAGCGCCCUGACGGUAUCUAACCAGAAAGCCACGGCUAACUACGUGCCAGCAGCCGCGGUAAUACGUAGGUGGCAAGCGUUGUCCGGAUUUAUUGGGCGUAAAGCGAGCGCAGGCGGUUCCUUAAGUCUGAUGUGAAGCCCCCGGCUCAACCCGGGGAGGGUCAUUGGAAACUGGGGAACUUGAGU